rnacentral:sRNA from 1 species
CCAUGUGCACACCCUCUCCCUCCCCCUGCCCCUUGUGCACACCCUCUCCCUGCCCCCUGCCCCUUGUGCACACCCUCUCCCUGCCCCUGCCCCUUGUGCACACCCUCUGUACCCCCCUUCCCGCCCCAGCCUGUGUUUGCAGUGCUACAGGGUGGCUGCAGCCUUCGCCUCCCACAGCUCCUCAAGGUCAGAGGGCUGGGAACCCCUGGGAUGUGGCUGGGAUGAGGAACCUGCCCCUCGUCAGGCAUUUCCAGGCAAGGGGCACAGAGACACAGCCAGCCCAGCAGCUGAGCCCCUCCUAUCAGGCCAGGUGGGAAACUGAGGCAUGAACACAACCCAGACUGGAAAUAACAAAGCCAUCAUGUACUGUGUGCCUA